GAUGAACGCCGGCGGCGUGCCUAAUACAUGCAAGUCGAGCGAACGGACGAGAAGCUUGCUUCUCUGAUGUUAGCGGCGGACGGGUGAGUAACACGUGGAUAACCUACCUAUAAGACUGGGAUAACUUCGGGAAACCGGAGCUAAUACCGGAUGAUAUUUUGAACCGCAUGGUUCAAAAGUGAAAGACGGUCUUGCUGUCACUUAUAGAUGGAUCCGCGCUGCAUUAGCUAGUUGGUAAGGUAACGGCUUACCAAGGCAACGAUGCAUAGCCGACCUGAGAGGGUGAUCGGACACACUGGAACUGAGACACGGUCCAGACUCCUACGGGAGGCAGCAGUAGGGAAUCUUCCGCAAUGGGCGAAAGCCUGACGGAGCAACGCCGCGUGAGUGAUGAAGGUCUUCGGAUCGUAAAACUCUGUUAUUAGGGAAGAACAUAUGUGUAAGUAACUGUGCACAUCUUGACGGUACCUAAUCAGAAAGCCACGGCUAACUACGUG
rnacentral:rRNA from 1 species